AAAAAAGUUCACAAAAACUUAGCAAAAUAAGAGAGCUUAUUAGUUGAAGGGAAGUAUUUUUAUUGUGGGGUUUUGAACUCAUCUCUUGUCCAGAGUUGUUGAGUUAUUGAGAUUAGACUGUUGUAUCCUAGAGGGGAUAAGUCAAAAAGUAUUAUUAUUGGAUCGGAGAAAUAAUUGCCGCAGUAGGCUUGAAUCUCCUUAAAGAGAGCGAGAUAUCCGCGCCUCAGCCGUAGAAGAAGAAAUAUAUUUUUCUUUAUUCAUUUGUAAUUUUUAGUUGUAAUCAGUUGUAAUAUUAUUAUAAUAUUUAUUGUAAUUUCUCCAACAAUUCUUUUUUUGGCUAAAUAAUGGGCAAGAAAGGAAGUGGUUGGUUUUUCAUCAGUCAAGAAAGUUUUCAAACAGUCUCUUAAAUAUUCAUCAGACAAGAAGGUUGGUUGCAGUGACGGAGCCACAUGGGUGCAAGGGGUUCAUCCGAAGUCCGACUGUAUAUAUACAUAAUUAAAAUUAUUUUUUAUGAAUAUGUUGUGUAAGGUCCGGCCCCAUUUUGUUCAACUUUGGCAGCAAUAAUUUUCUUCUUUGGUUGCCAAAGAACUAGUCAAAGAUAGGACAAAUAUUUUCAAGAAAAUGGCUGCAAAUUGCAUGGUUUUUUGAUGUCAUUGAUGACAUCAAUUGGGGUAAUUCUUGCUUAUAUAAGGAGCUCGCUAGCUACAUGAAAGAACACCCCAAUUGAGGGGACACACCAAUUUGAGAAGAACACAACAUUUGAGAAGAUGUAGUUAUGUUUGCUUUUCUUCUUUGUAGAGAGUAUUUGUUAGAAAGUUGUAUUGUGAAAUACUUUAAGUGAACCUCUUCUUUGGAAUGAUAUUUGUGAGAUUAUUUUCUUGGGUAUUUGGGAUAUUAGAGUAUUUAAUUACUCUAAUUUUAUACUCUCUUUUGUGUCUUUGUACUCUCUUUUUGUUCCGUUGGUGUUUAGUAAAGUGAACCUCUUCUUUGGAAUGAUAUUUGUGAGAUUAUUUUCUUGGGUAUUUGGGAUAUUAGAGUAUUUAAUUACUCUAAUUUUAUACUCUCUUUUGUGUCUUUGUACUCUCUUUUGUUCCGUUGGUGUUUAGUAAAGUUGCUCCACCUUUUGGUUGUGGACGUAGGUCAAGUUGACCGAACCACGUUAAAUUUGUGUCUCCUUUAUUUUUCUCAACUUAUCGUUAUUAUCAUCUUUCUUAUCGUCUUCAAACAAUUACUUUGUUUAAUUCUGCACUAUCCGGGAUUCUCGAUCCUAACAUGUUUAAUCCCCUUGGUUUCUUUGUUUUGUCAUUGAUCCUAUGAUCUUCGAGAUCAGUAGAGAGAAAAAGAAGCACAAAAACAGAAUUUUGAUGUCACUAAAUUUCCAGGAAUGCAAGUAGUGAAGUAAUAAUCUUUUAUUUAUUGAAAAAUGUGUGUCUUGGAAGUUUAUGUUUAAAAAUAAGAUAAGAUUAUUAUUAAUUUUUUGGUAUACAUUUUGAAGUUCUUAAGUGUGUUGAUAUUUUUUUAACCUAUAUGCUAAGAUUUGCAUUUGAAAAGGAUUUUUUUCAAGAGUUUUUGUGUUAAAGAUUGAAUUUUGAGGGGAAUGAAAUUGUGGGUGAUGAGUGGUUUAUUGAAAAGGUUGAAUCUUUAUGUUGAGAUUGCAUUUGGAAAGUCAGUAGUUUGAUGGUUAUAAAAAAAAAGGUCAGUAGUUUGACAUUUCCUUUCAAGUAUGAGGAUGUUUUGGAAGUUUUUAACUUAAAUUUGUGUUAAAGAUUGAAUUUUGAGGGAAAAUUAAUUGUGAGUCUUGCGUGUUUGCGGAAUCUUAGCAGCUCAGUUAAUAAGCUAGCUAGCUAAACUUUCAUUUUGUUGAUGAGUGUUCGAUUUCUCACCUUAUAAUACCCUCCGCAUUUCCCCUUUUCCCCUUUUCCUACCCUAAUUUUUAUUAAAAAAUGGCCUUGAAUGUUGAGAUUUUUGCUAUUUGAGAGUCAAUAUUGAGUACAUGUCAUUUUUUAGCAUCUAAAUUAAAAUGUUUGUUGUUUUUUCUUGAAUUUGUGAAAGAUGAUUAUGUAAUGCAAGUUUUGUGCUUCUGGGGUUGGAAAGUUAUACACUAUACAGAGUGAUAUUGAGUUUUGAAUAGGAUUCAUAAGCGCUGUUAGGAGACGGUGGGCGUAUGAAAUUUUGAGGAUUCGAAGGCCUAAGUGAAUUAGGUGACCGAAGUAAAGGGGAGUUUUAGUUCAAUGUCGGGAGCUUCAAGUGUAAGGUCAAUGAAUGUAGCUGACUCGGAAGCAAGGCCAGUUCUUGGUCCGCUGGGAAUAAGGCACAGAGAUCACCUGGUUCAAGAAAAUCUGUUACGAGACCUACGAGAAAGACAGUGAAGUCAAAAAAGGAGGUCGAGAUGGAAGAUAAAAAUGGUCACCAACCAUCCCCUUCAUUGCUUACUUUUUAUGUUCCUUUCAUACUUAGGCGACAUGAGUCAUUGUAUUCCAACCUUUCACUUAGUGCUUCAUGUUCUUCUGAUGCCUCAACGGAUUCAUUUCACGCCAGUGCUUCAACUAGUAGGAUAUAUAGAAUGAAUAAUACCUCAAAUAGAAGGAAGCAAUUGGCAUCGAAGUCCAAAAGGAUGGUUUCAGAUGAUAUAUCAGACUCUCCAAUCGACGGUUUGCAUUCCAAGAAAAGAUGUUCCUGGGUGACACCUAAUACAGGCCGAACAUGUGAACAAUGGAUCGAUUUCAGAAAGAUGAUUCUGAUGGUAAUUCACUUCCUGGUAGGCGUAGAGAUGAUGUAGAAAUAAUGAUGGCUCCAACAAAAGUAUCCCAGACUAAGAGUUGCAACAAAAUGCAACCAUUGUGCUGCCUUGGGUCAUUACAAACGUGGCAAUAGAAAUCCAUCUUUUUUGAAGUUAGAAUAUGUGAAACUACUGCUUAUGUCUCACAGUCUACCUGGGAUACAAUCUUGGACUUGGAGCUUUUCUCAUGGAGAUCAUAGUCUUGCUUAAUCAUUUCUAAAGCAUUAUAUGAUGCCAAUGACGGACUGCCAGCUUUGUUAAACAAGGUCAAUUCCGAUGCCCAUUUGUUGGAGCGACACCUACAAUAGUAGAAGGUUGGAAUUAGUGAAUUUCGUACCCCCAAAUUUAAAAAAUCAAUUGCAUUUCAAGCUUCUAACAUUCUGAAAAGGCUUGCCGUGAUAUUAUCUUUCUUUGAUAAUAUCCUCACAUAAAUGGUGGACUCUAUGUUUGUUCUUCAUCUAACUGUCUAUCAUAGAUAUUGCAGUCAAAUUAAUGUGUCAAGCCAUAGUUGUGAUUUUUCUUUUUUAUGAAACUUGCAAUCAAAAGGAUUGUAGGGAAUCAUGAGCACAAAAAAUCUAUGGCCAAACAUCUAAGCUUUUGUAAA